rnacentral:rRNA from 1 species
CGGGAAACCGGAGCUAAUACCGGAUAAUAUAUUGAACCGCAUGGUUCAAUAGUGAAAGACGGUUUUGCUGUCACUUAUAGAUGGAUCCGCGCCGCAUUAGCUAGUUGGUAAGGUAACGGCUUACCAAGGCAACGAUGCGUAGCCGACCUGAGAGGUUGAUCGGCCACACUGGAACUGAGACACGGUCCAGACUCCUACGGGAGGCAGCAGCA